AUUGAACGCUGGCGGCAUGCUUUACACAUGCAAGUCGAACGGUAACAGGCCGCAAGGUGCUGACGAGUGGCGCACGGGUGAGUAAUGCAUCGGAACGUGCCCAGUCGUGGGGGAUAACUACUCGAAAGAGUAGCUAAUACCGCAUACGAUCUAUGGAUGAAAGCGGGGGACCGUAAGGCCUCGCGCGAUUGGAGCGGCCGAUGUCAGAUUAGGUAGUUGGUGGGGUAAAGGCUCACCAAGCCAACGAUCUGUAGCUGGUCUGAGAGGACAACCAGCCACACUGGGACUGAGACACGGCCCAGACUCCUACGGGAGGCAGCAGUGGGGAAUUUUGGACAAUGGGCGCAAGCCUGAUCCAGCAAUGCCGCGUGCAGGAAGAAGGCCUUCGGGUUGUAAACUGCUUUUGUACGGAACGAAACGGCUCUGGUUAAUACCCGGGGCUAAUGACGGUACCGUAAGAAUAAGCACCGGCUAACUACGU
rnacentral:rRNA from 1 species